rnacentral:rRNA from 1 species
UCAAGAAACUUCCACAAUGGGCGAAAGCCUGAUGGAGCGACGUCGCGUGAUGGACGAAGUGCUUCGGCACGUAAACAUCUUUUAUGUGGGAUGAAAUUAUUGACAGUACCACAUGAAUAAGGGGCUCCUAGCUCUGUGCCAGCAGGAGCGGUAAUACAGAGGCCCCAAGCGUUAUCCGGAAUCACUGGGCGUAAAGGGUGUCGAGGCGGUUGUAUUAGUCGUUCGUAAAAUCUACGAGCUUAACUUGUAGGCGGCGAACGAAACGGUACGACUUGAGGUUUGGAGAGGUGCGUGGAACUCACGGUGUAGGGGUGAAAUCCGUUGAUAUCGUGGGGAACACCAAAGGCGAAGGCAGCGCACUGGCCAAAAUCUGACGCUCACACACGAAAGCUAGGGUAGCGAAGAGGAUUAGAUACCCACGUAGUCCCUGAGCGGGCUGGCAAGGCGCAU